UUCCAGGAAACAGCUCACCUGUGGCAAACACUUUUCUGACAGACAUGGAGUGGAGAGUCUUUGUCUUCAGCAGUUUGGAUGUUAACUAUGAAGGCAGAAAGUGUGUGUGACUGAUGUGGAUGUGACUUCAGCAGCAUGAAUCAGUGUGAGGACAGAAAGAAGGGAGUCCCUCCUGCUCAAAGCUCUCUAUGUUGGGAACAUGACAGCCAGACCAAAGCUCAGAGAAGCCCAGAGCUACAAAGACCAGACUUUGCUAGAUUUUGGCCUUUUCGCUCCAUUAAUUUUAAAGGACUACCUCCUGCUGCAAAGAGAGUGGACCAGGAGGAUCCCAGUGGUCAGUCUGCCCAGCAGCAUCAAACACACAGGGUGAUCAUAUAUGCGGUAUGCAACAGAUGAGUCCAGAUUACCCAGAAUGCUUAGAGAGUCAGAGUGAUGAGGAGGAGGUGUUGGAUGGUGAGGAAGAAGAGCAGAGGAGGAGGAGCAGCAGAGAAGAAUUUCUGAAGAUCACUUUGCAGUCUCUGAGGAGAAUGAAGCAGGAGGAGCUGGCUGACCGUCUGCAGAGCAAAACUCCUACUCCAGUUGGUCAACGUGAACUCAAGUCUAACCUGAAGAAGAAGUUCCAGUGUGUGUUUGAGGGGAUUGCUAAAGCAGGAAACCCAACCCUUCUGAAUCAGAU